rnacentral:lncRNA from 1 species
CACACCCAGGGGUGGUGGAAGCUACAGAAUCACAGCUAGAAGGAAGACCUGCCUAUGAAAAACCAAAGAGCUGAUAAAAAGGAGCUGGUAUUAAAAUGCCCACCCAGCAUGACAUACAACAGAGCCAGUGCAGUUUUUACUUGUGCCAGUCCAGCUCUGAGACGCCAAGGAGAUAGGUAGAAUUAUUCCAUAUUUCCAUCCACAUUUGCAUUUGCAGCAAAAAUCUGUUUUCAGACAGGUAUUUUAACAAGACUUUAUUUCAGUCAGCUGGUUUUUGUCUGCAAAUAGCAAGAAUCAUGCUUUGGAGCAGGGCAAGGGGAAAGAACAUCUUGCAACAUGAUUCUCUGGGCCAAAUUUGACAUGUACAGCUCCCACUAAGACCCAAAUAUAGGCAACAUUUGUUUCCAGACAACAAAGAGUGUGUCCGUUGUUACUGCAACAGAAAAAGGUGUGAGCUUUUGAACAUUAUUCCACUGGUCAGGCGUGCCAGCUCAACCUGUGUCUGCAGAUGAGAAAGAAUUCCACUAAAUCACUUAUUUUCUAUUUCCAGAAUCGUAGGUGUUGCAACAUAAGGCACUGGGGGUAGUGGACAGAUGAAAACAGUUCUUACAGACCCUGUAAGAGGCAUCUGUUCUGCGGGAGCUCAGUGUCCAGCUACAAGUCCAAGGUUACAAUCAAUUUUAAAAAAGAAACUUGGGAAAGCAGUACAUUAGUAGCAAGCUAUUUGAAAGACUGUUUGAAAUAUGGCCUGGGACACACUUUCUACCUGCACAGUGAGAGGUCCACAUGCCACAGAAAUGGACUGUUUUUGGGAUGCUCCAUACUAUCUCUAAACAGCAGGUUAAUUUCAGCUGACACUUAUUUAUGAAAGCACAAAGUCUGCUGAGGUAAUAAAAAAGUCAACUCCUAGGGAAUAUAUAGCCUU